rnacentral:rRNA from 1 species
GUAGCGAAAUGCGAUACUUGGUGUGAAUUGCAGAAUCCCGUGAACCAUCGAGUCUUUGAACGCAAGUUGCGCCCGAAGCCUUCUGGCCGAGGGCACGUCUGCCUGGGCGUCACGCA